rnacentral:rRNA from 1 species
GCCAGACUCCUACGGGAGGCAGCAGUGAGGAAUAUUGGUCAAUGGCCGCAGGGCUGAACCAGCCAAGUCGCGUGAGGGAUGACGGUCCUAUGGAUUGUAAACCUCUUUUGUCAGGGAGCAAAGGGCGCCACGUGUGGCGUUUUGCGAGUACCUGAAGAAAAAGCAUCGGCUAACUCCGUGCCAGCAGCCGCGGUAAUACGGAGGAUGCGAGCGUUAUCCGGAUUUAUUGGGUUUAAAGGGUGCGUAGGCGGAGUGUCAAGUCAGCGGUAAAAUUUCGGGGCUCAACCCCGUCGUGCCGUUGAAACUGACGCCCUUGAGUGAGUGAGAAGUAAGCGGAAUGCGUGGUGUAGCGGUGAAAUGCAUAGAUAUCGCGCAGAACUCCGAUUGCGAAGGCAGCAUGCCGGCUCCACACUGACGCUGAGGCACGAAAGCGUGGGUAUCGAACAGGAUUAGAUACCCCAGUA